rnacentral:lncRNA from 1 species
UUCAGCUCUGCUACUCAGAGUCACCUUUACUCAGUGAGUCAUGGCAAGAAGGUGAUGCCCUAGAUAGCCCUCCACAGUCUCUCUUUGUCCAUGUUCCAGAACCUGUUCUGCCUCACUGCUGCUUUGGGCCUAGAGGUGGGAAGACUCGCUCAGCUCUCAGUGUACUGCAGCAUCCUGUAUAUUUGCUCUACAAUCUGCCUGCACCCUUGCAGAACACGCCUUUAGUUAUUGCUCUGCCAGUUACUCAACUUGACUGUGGCAUCAGCUGGCAGUGUCCUAAUCCCUGACCUUGCACCAGGUGUGUAGAUGAUGCUGAAGUACAUGGACUUUUGUCUUCUUUAUCAGUCAAUGCAUUUUUUAGCCGCAAUGUGAGAUGUGAACAACCAAACUUGUCACUAGCCCGCCAUGUCAUAUUCCCAGUGAGUAUUGUGGGCCAGCCGGAG